UACGGAGGGUGCAAGCGUUGUCCGGAUUUAUUGGGUUUAAAGGGUGCGUAGGCGGCCUGUUAAGUCAGGGGUGAAAGACUGCAGCUCAACUGUAGCAGUGCCUUUGAUACUGAUGGGCUUGAGUCUAGAUGAGGCCGGCGGAAUGGGUGGUGUAGCGGUGAAAUGCAUAGAUACCAUCCAGAACACCGAUUGCGAAGGCAGCCGGCUAAACUACAACUGACGCUGAGGCACGAAAGCGUGGGGAUCGAACAGG
rnacentral:rRNA from 1 species